UACGUAGGGGGCUAGCGUUGUCCGGAAUCAUUGGGCGUAAAGAGCGUGUAGGCGGUCCGGUAAGUCCGCUGUGAAAGUCGGGGGGUCAACCCUCGAAUGCCGGUGGAUACUGUCGGGCUAGAGUGCGGAAGAGGCGAGUGGAAUUCCUGGUGUAGCGGUGAAAAUGCGCAGAUAUCAGGAGGAACACCUAUUGCGAAGGCAGCUCGCUGGGACUUACUGACGCUGAGACGCGAAAAGCGUGGGGGAGCAAAACAGG
rnacentral:rRNA from 1 species